GUUGAUCAAAUGUUAUUCAGGCAUUAUAAAAUUCCUGGGGAGGGCAGGACUAAUUCAUUUACUGAGCUAUCUGCCAUCAGAUCUAUGUCAAAAUUCCAUUUUCCAGUUGAGAUUCAUCAAGAAGAACGGCAAAAUCAAGUCAUCAACCAGCUAAAGAUGCUGAUCAUAUUGUUGCCGAGCCAAAUUUACAUAGGACGAAUUUUGGGCAGAGUAAUGCGAUGGAGCCAUGUGAGGUAAUUUAGUAAUAUGCAUAUACAGUUUUGAUUGAACAACAUUACUGAUGAUCAUAAGCAUUGGAAAAUCAUUAAUUUUUACAAAUAAUAUGAUGCCAUGUAGUUAAAAAUAAUGAAUUCUUAU